rnacentral:rRNA from 1 species
AUUGAACGCUGGCGGCAGGCUUAACACAUGCAAGUCGAGCGGGGUGAUGGUGCUUGCACUAUCACUUAGCGGCGGACGGGUGAGUAAUGCUUAGGAAUCUGCCUAUUAGUGGGGGACAACAUCUCGAAAGGGAUGCUAAUACCGCAUACGUCCUACGGGAGAAAGCAGGGGAUCACUUGUGACCUUGCGCUAAUAGAUGAGCCUAAGUCGGAUUAGCUAGUUGGUGGGGUAAAGGCCUGCCAAGGCGACGAUCUGUAGCGGGUCUGAGAGGAUGAUCCGCCACACUGGGACUGGGACACGGCCCAGACUCCUACGGGAGGCAGCAGUGGGGAAGAUUGAACAAUGGGGGGAACCCUGAUCCAGCCAUGCCGCGUGUGUGAAGAAGGCCUUAUGGUUGUAAAGCACUUUAAGCGAGGAGGAGGCUCUUUUGGUUAAUACCCAAGAUGAGUGGACGUUACUCGCAGAAUAAGCACCGGCUAACUCUGUGCCAGCCGCCGCCGUAA